UAAUUAAUUUCCCCCCUGCGUAGUUUCCGCCAAAUUGAUUUCCAUCUCCCCAAAAUUAACCGGAUUUGACCACAGUUUGAUAACAACUCAGUUUCACGCCACAGGUCUUUCUCGGCGUUUGCAACUUUUGUCCCCAAACAGAAAGAACGGGUAUGGAGCAAGAGCUGUUGGUAAAGAUGACCGACGCAAACCAGUUUUCUUUAAUUUCACACACUUACGAACCCAAAAUCCAAUUAUUCACACUCGAUUGCAUUUCACCUUUACAUUUUCCAUCGAUCUUGAAAAUACCCACCACUGUUCUUCACCCAAAUCAGUGAGAAGAAACAGUACGGCCAACUGUUCCGGCGCAUCCUUAGUUCCAGUCUUACGCUUAGGUUUGUGGUAGCUGUUUGCUCGACUGGGUGGUUCUACCUGGAAGUUAGAUGACGGCUGCGCCUUCACAAUUUUGGGGGUUCAUGCGAUUGGUGGUUUUGUAGGGCUUAUUGGAUGACAACUGUAAAGAGCAGUUGGUCAUACAGGACAUACUCGACAACUAGGGUUCCGUCAUCUUCCGGUUAGCAUUCGCAAACAUCCUUUUUAACUUAAUUAAUUAGACUUUUCUAGGCCCGUUCAGAUCUUUUUGAUUUGAUCACAUUUGUGUUAGCCUGAACCAUUAAUUGGUCCAUAUACAAUAUAUGAAAGAACAAAUAUAAGUUUUUUACCCUUGAUAAAUAUUAGUAGAUUCUGAUGGGUUACGGGAGCAAAAAAAAAAAGAUAAGGUGUUGGAACAAGCAAAUGUGAAAGGCAUAUGACAAAAGAUUUAAGUGUUGCCCAUUAGUCUUCGUUUACUGGUUGAUGUUAUGUUAAACAGGGAAAAGGAGGAACCAUUUUCUACUUAUAGAAUUUUCUAUUGAACGAGGUGUUGGUGUGUAAGCAAUCACCUUCCUUAACUAUUGAUAAUUUUUCAAUUUCUUUCAAUUACAAUCUUACUAUUGAUUAUUUUCUGGUUUGUACAUGUUACAAUUCGAAGGCGGCGUUCAUGCAACAUGAUCUCUUGUACAGAAGAAAAGUAAUACCAUGUUCACAGCUUCAGGAUGAAUCAACAGCUACCUCUUUGACUAAAGAAUCAUAAACUGCCAAACAAUUGUGAUAGUUCAAUCAUAAACUGAUGCCUAUGUUCAGUUACUCCCACUUUUUCUUAUUAUUUGUUUUCUCUGUUUCAAUUAUUGUCCUUCGAUGUUGCAAUUGGCAA